UGGAAAAGUAGCGACAAUAAAGAAAGUCCGACAUUUCGUCUGCAUUUGGCGGUUUAUGGGGGACAUUUUACGGACAAUUGCAGAUGGACAACUUCAAACGGCAGACACAAACAAAAAUGGUUCGACUUUGGAACCGUUUUAUGGUAAUGGGCGACGACCGAAUCACCAAAAAUGUUUUUUUCUGUGGAACCGAUCCCGAUGUGGUGAACGAGGCAUAUUAACAGUUUUAUCGAAAGACGGUUCAGUAGUUUCGAGAGGUCAAGAAGAUUAAGGCAGCGUUUUUUCUUUGCCACCACCCACAAUAAAG